rnacentral:rRNA from 1 species
ACGCUGGCGGUAGGCUUAACACAUGCAAGUCGUGCGAGAAAGUAUCUUCGGAUAUGAGUAGAGCGGCGGACGGGUGAGUAACGCGUAGGAAUCUACCUAGUAGAAGGGGAUAGCCCGGGGAAACCCGGAUUAAUACCGUAUACCUCCUUCGGGAGAAAGAAGGCCUCUCUUUGAAGCUUUCGCUACUAGAUGAGCCUGCGUAAGAUUAGCUUGUUGGUGAGGUAAAGGCUCACCAAGGCGACGAUCUUUAGCUGGUCUGAGAGGACGAUCAGCCACAUUGGGACUGAGACACGGCCCAGACUCCUACGGGAGGCAGCAGUGGGGAAUAUUGGACAAUGGGCGCAAGCCUGAUCCAGCCAUACCGCGUGUGUGAAGAAGGCCUUCGGGUUGUAAAGCACUUUAAGCAGGGAGAAAAAGUUAUAAGUUAAUACCUUAUAACCCUGAUGUUACCUGCAGAAUAAGCACCGGCUAAUUCCGUGCCAGCAGCCGCGGUAAUACGGAAGGUGCAAGCGUUAAUCGGAAUUACUGGGCGUAAAGCGCGCGUAGGUGGUUUGUUAAGUUGGAUGUGAAAGCCCUGGGCUUAACCUAGGAACUGCAUCCAAAACUAACUCACUAGAGUACGAUAGAGGGAGGUAGAAUUCAUAGUGUAGCGGUGGAAUGCGUAGAUAUUAUGAAGAAUACCAGUGGCGAAGGCGGCCUCCUGGAUCUGUACUGACACUGAGGUGCGAAAGCGUGGGUAGCGAACAGGAUUAGAUACCCUGGUAGUCCACGCCGUAAACGAUGACAACUAGCCGUUGGGAGACAAUGUCUUUCAGUGGCGCAGCUAACGCUUUAAGUUGUCCGCCUGGGGAGUACGGCCGCAAGGCUAAAACUCAAAUGAAUU